rnacentral:tRNA from 1 species
GCGCAGUAGGCAGCGCGUGAGUCUCAUAAUCUCAAGGUCGUGAGUUCGAUCCUCAC